UGGGAUUUUGGCUUCUUGGAGCCAGCGGGGACUUCCUGUUUUAAUCAUAGGGGGAGGGGUCACUCAGUCCCGUUCUCAUUUUAAUUAGGUUUAUACAUUUCUUUGCUUAUCAGAACCUCGUUCACUUACAGCUUCAUCAAUUAAAGUAUAAAAUUAUGUAUUUGAUGAAUUCAGCUUUUUCAAAUUACAGUGAGACCUACAAACAUGCAUGGAGUGUGUUUAGAUGUGAGCAUGUGUGGGGGUCACAGUCCGUUGACAGCUGAAAGGCAGGGUCACCUUCAGUUGACAGGAUGUUAGUGAUGCCCUUUUAAAUCCAAAUGUUUUGCUUCCCCCACCCUCCUCACCUCUCUGGUCCCAGCUGCCACACCUCUUACACCUCUGACCCCAGCCCAAGGCCAAGGUUGGGAGGUUGUUGCCACGGCAACACAACAACCCUGUGGUUACUGACUGCUGACCCAGGGAGCCUAAAGUAACCGUGACCAUGGUAAUUGUCUCCUCUCUGCCCCUCACCAGCAAAUGCAUGACUAGCAUUCAGAGAGAAGGAAACCAAACUGAACCGAAGCGGGGUGGAGGAAAGGAAAGAUGGACAGAUGGACUCGGGGGACAAAAGGAGGACGCGUGUGCUGAUAAAAGUUUUUGGGUUGUCCGGGCCCGUGGAGGAUCGUAGACAAGAGCAGCCGCAUCUUAAGGGGAGCUCAGGUGUGUGCAGUUGGCUCGUAUGGCCACCUCAAGGGACGUUAUGAAAAUGGAAUGGACGAUUGUUGUGCAUGUGCUCUUCGGUCUCAUGCCACUGCCGUGUUUUGCUCCGUCAUGGCCACUGGAGCAACGCCUGAACCCUUUUGGCUGAUGGACAGCUGACCAUCUUGCAGCUGGGGAGCUGACAGAAAGAGGGACUGGAAGACGACUGACAGAAAUCCUAUCAUGCGCUCUGCUUAGAAAAUCUGCUGGCCGAUCCCAGAGGUCCAUUCCCCUCCUCUUCAUCUCCCCCAUGCUGUGUCUUCACCUAGAAUCCAUGCAUACAUGCGAGCAGAAAAAUCCCCAAAACUAACCGCUCACAGAACACACGAGAGCGUUUGUAAACUUCAUUUGAAUUAUACAUCAGCUUCUUUCUAAAAUCCUUUUGAUCGUGACGAUGAAAAAAACAUAAAAGCCGAGGAGCCAAACGUUUUUCCGACAUCUUAGAUUUUCACGAUUUUAGAAUAAUGUUUGCCAGAUCACGCUGCAUGGGAAUGAAGCCCAUUUACUUCGCACACAGUAACUUCUUCGUAAGAAUAAGAAAAAAAAGGAAAAAAAAACCACUGCAGUACAGCAGAGCCCAAUACUAACAAGUAGGUCAUGAGGGGGGUGGGGGUUUUAUCCCAUCUGGAGCAGUGCAUUCUGAGUAGUUGACUGCAGAUGAAGGGAAGACGAUGAGAGAUUUGUACCAAAGACAAGCUUUCUCUGCAUUUCUUUCUGCUUGCAAACCAACUCUGGUCUCUUGCACCUUGACGUCUGCUGUCACGUACUCUGCCAACCCCCCACCCCCAUGCUACCAAAUGGGGAGGUGGAGGGAUCUGUUGUGAAAUAUAGGAAGAGUAGACGGUAUAAAGACUUAAAUUUGGAUAAAG